UCUAAUAUGGCAGAAAUUUAUGCAAUGAAUUUAAGCUUCAACUAUAAAGUACUAAUCUUUUUUUAGAA
rnacentral:tRNA from 1 species